AAGAGACCCAAGCACUUCGAGCUGAGUAGAAGAGCAGUGCUUUAUUCUAAAAGGAGAGCAGAUCUGUUUCUUUUCUAAAACUUAAAAAAAAAAAAAAAAAACCCACAGAGUGUAUGUUUUUUAACCCACAGUAACCAGAUGAACUACAUUCAAUUCUCAGUGUUUUAUAGAAAAUCCAUUGAGCAUACAGAUAAUCCACAAGAAAACAUCAGAAGCCAUUUGACAGUAGACUCGAUUCUGAUCUGCAGUGGUGAGAAAGGAAGAAAAUGCAUUUGAGGGGACUGGGUUACCCACGAAGCAAGGACUGGGCCUCAAGUCAUCCCAAGCUGAAAACCCUUUUCUAAGUGAGACUCGGGUGCACACUUGGAGAGAAUCAAGCGCUGACAGGUCCUCUCAAUUCACAGAACUGGGACAUCCCUGACACACAUACCAUGGUGAUAAGCAGUGAAACUCUCAUGUAAGUAUCUUGGGUUUUUAACUUUUUGUUCUAAGGUAAGGCAUAAAGGAAAAAGAUGCCCAAGCAGUGUGGUCACAGAGUGCUUGUAAUUGGCUAUGAGCAUCUUAGUCCUCAGAACUUCCCAGCCGCGCCCCAGGAAGCCCCUUUUUGCUUCUCAGCUCACUCGGUCCCAGGCUCAGACUCAGGGGAAUCUUGUUCAAGGGUCCUGUGGUGGCAGGAAGUCACUUUAAAGGCCACCUAACACAGUGUUUCUCACUGCAGGUUGGGGUCCACAAGCAGGUCAUGGAAUAAGUUUAGUGGAUCUGAAACUGUGGGUAAGCCUCAGGAAAAUCCAUUCUAACUGUAUCCUGCCUGCACUGAUCAAGGUCACUUUAAUUGUUGCUACAGAAGAUGCACUUGCAUGUUCUUCAAGUAGCACGUGGUCCUAAACAAUAUAAUGUUUGCCUGAGUCCUUUCCCAGUUACUUGGUGUCAGCUGCGUCUAGUUCGAGCUGAGCUGGUUAGGAUUGGUUAGGACCGCCCACCCUCCAACUGGGCAUGCGCGAGUGACCCCUUGAUAACCUUGUAAUGUCAGAGGUCCCGUAGCUUGGUUACACCUGCCCAGGAUGACAAUUACUGCACGUUUUUCCAAUCACCUUUCCCCACGCUCCCCACCUUCCCCACGCCUCAGACCACCCUGCCGCUUUAUGCUCCAUCGCAUAAAUAUCCCCGUCCCUUUGUUUUCAGAGACAUCCAUCUGAGGUCUGUUCCCUGUCUCUGCACUUGGCUGCCUUUUGAGUGGCCAAAGUAUUGGAGUUUCAGCUUCAGCAGUGGGUCUGUAAAAGCAGCAAGAUAGAGAGACGCCCAGCCCCUCACCCCACAGCCCCACAGAAACAGACUGGAUCAGCCAGGUGUGUCCAGCACCCCCAGCCAGGUGGAACACCUGUGCAUGGAUGAGAGAAAGGACCUCAAGACCCAUGACUUCCAUCUGUUGGGGAAAUUCCUGAGAACCUGGAUAUCAUAGGAAGACAGUGCUUUACCACCAAAAGCCACAGAUUUUUCUAAGCAAACACACAGAUCUGUCACGUUUAUGGUGUGAAAAUGGCACUAGGCUGGAGUGGUGCUCCAUGGAGUCAGGUGGAUGGCCGUGAGUGGAUGCGGCUGGAAGCCAGGGCUGCAGCCUUACUGCUGCUGAUGGAGACCCAGAGGACGCGUCAAGAGGGGGUCACAUCUCCUCAGAGGCAUGAUCCGGGACCAGAAGCUUGGUCCCAAAGGACACCUCGACUGAAACCAGGCAGGCUGUAGAGAAGACCCAGAACAUAAAUUCCAUAAAAACAGGCUUCCCAGGUGGCUCAGCGGUAAAGAACCUGCUUGCAAGGCAGAAGACACAGGAGACGCAGGUUUGAUCCCUGAGUUGGGAAGAUCCCUUGGAAGAGGAAAUGGCAAC